AAAAGCUCAACUUUGAAAUCUGGCAGCUUCGCUGUCCGAGUUGUAGUCUCGAGAAGUGUUUUCCGCGCUGGACCAUGUAUGAGUCUGUUGGAAUACAGCGUCAUAGAGGGUGAGAACCCCGUUCAUGACAUGCCUUCCAGUGCUUUGUGAUACACUUUCGAUGAGUCGAGUUGUUUGGGAAUGCAGCUCAAAAUGGGUGGUAAAUUCCAUCUAAAGCUAAAUAUUGGGGAGAGACCGAUAGCAAACAAGUACCGUGAGGGAAAGAUGAAAAGCACUUUGGAAAGAGAGUUAACAGUACGUGAAAUUGUCGAAAGGGAAACGCUUGAAGUCAGACGUGCGUAGUGCCUUCGGGUGCUGUUGCAGGCCAGCAUCAGUUUUUCGAGCCGGAUAAAGGUGGGAGGAAGGUAGCAGUCUCGGCUGUGUUAUAGCCUCCCACUGAAUACGGAUUGUGAGACUGAGGAAUGCGAUUCUAGGAUGCUGGUGAAAUGGCUUUAAACGACCCGUC
rnacentral:rRNA from 1 species